AGUUGGGCUUGAGCCUUGGGCCGACUUUAGUUUUUUCUGUUGGGCCGAUUUUUCUUUCAGUUGGGCCAGUGUUUAAUUAAAUGGUUGGGACUCAUUUUAUUUAAACUUGGGCUGCCAUUUUUUUUAUUUUUGGGCUGCGAAUUUUAAAACAAAAACAUGGGCUUCCAUUUAAUUGUUAGACUUCUUUAAUUGAUUUAUCAAUUUAAUUCUUUAAUUUGGGUUUAAAUUAAUUAUUUUUGAAAAAGUUUGCAUAAUAGUAUUUUCUUAUUAUGUGCAUAUGUUAAAUAUAUUUAUUUAAUUAUGUGAGUUAAAGCAUGAAUUAAUUUUUGCAUCAAACAUUUUACAUAGAAUCAUUUAUGAUUAAAUUGGUUUUAUUAUUAAAAAUCGAAUAAGGAUAUUGUUGGUGUCCUUGACUCAAGAAUUUAUUUUCUUAAAUAUUUAAUUAUUAAAAUAUGAAAACCCGGCUAAGUGAAUCAUAGGAUGAUAAGCACUUCACUAUGACUUAAGAUUAGAUUCGGGAGACCUAUUAAGAUUAUAGAUUUCUUGUAGGCUUUGUGGAUCGUGAGGACUAGCACUGCUAUACCAAUUCAGAGUUAAGAAUAAACGACAGGCUUUGCCUAUUCAGGUUGAUUGGUCGGUGCUGACGGGGCAGAGCUGAGGCUAGAGUUCAACUCCGUAUUUUGUCUUCCGCUGUUGCACUAGCUCUUAUUUGUCUUUUGUUUCUCCAACUUAAGACUUUUAUGUUAAAUUCUGAAUUAUGUUUCUUAUCGAGUUUAAAUUCUCAACUUCUAGCUCUAUGUUAUUAACAUUGGUUAUCGGAAGCAUGAAACCGAACUUGUGAUCCUAAGGCUUAGAAUGUUGUUGAUUGAUUAAUAUCACUUGAUUUUUGUCUUUCUUCA